CAGGAACCGGUGGAAAAGGCUUUUGUUGCAAAGAAACCGGUCUAGAGGCAGCCCCGGGCCUGUGCCAGCCCUGCUCACUUGUCCAAGCUCAGAAACUUGAACCUCAGCCCACGGGGCUUAUCCCCGAACACUCCCUCCAUGUCAGUGGGACUCUGCUCCAGAACAUUCUGCAGGCAUUCCCACCAGACUUUUCUGUCCUGUGAGAACCUGGGCCCUGCUUUCCCCGGCCCAUGAUCCCAGUGGCCCCUGCCCUCUGCUUGCUCCUCUCCUGGGUGACCCCAAUCCUCAGCCCAGGGCUCUGGGCCUUGUGUGGAGCCGGGCCCCUGUCGCUUUCUUAAAUUCAA
rnacentral:lncRNA from 1 species